GAUGAACGCUGGCGGCGUGCCUAAUACAUGCAAGUCGAGCGAACAGAUAAGGAGCUUGCUCCUUUGACGUUAGCGGCGGACGGGUGAGUAACACGUGGGUAACCUACCUAUAAGACUGGGAUAACUUCGGGAAACCGGAGCUAAUACCGGAUAACAUUUGGAACCGCAUGGUUCUAAAGUGAAAGAUGGUUUUGCUAUCACUUAUAGAUGGACCCGCGCCGUAUUAGCUAGUUGGUAAGGUAACGGCUUACCAAGGCAACGAUACGUAGCCGACCUGAGAGGGUGGUCGGCCACCCCGGAACUGAGACACGGUCCAGACUCCCACGGGAGGCAGCAGUAGGGAAUCUUCCGCAAUGGGCGAAAGCCUGACGGAGCAACGCCGCGUGAGUGAUGAAGGGUUUCGGCUCGUAAAACUCUGUUAUUAGGGAAGAACAAAUGUGUAAGUAACUGUGCACGUCUUGACGGUACCUAAUCAGAAAGCCACGGCUAACUACGUG
rnacentral:rRNA from 1 species